UGGGGAAUUUUGGACAAUGGGCGCAAGCCUGAUCCAGCAAUGCCGCGUGCAGGAUGAAGGCCUUCGGGUUGUAAACUGCUUUUGUACGGAACGAAACGGCGAACUCUAAUAAAGUUUGCUAAUGACGGUACCGUAAGAAUAAGCACCGGCUAACUACGUGCCAGCAGCCGCGGUAAUACGUAGGGUGCAAGCGUUAAUCGGAAUUACUGGGCGUAAAGCGUGCGCAGGCGGUUAUAUAAGACAGAUGUGAAAUCCCCGGGCUCAACCUGGGACCUGCAUUUGUGACUGUAUAGCUAGAGUACGGUAGAGGGGGAUGGAAUUCCGCGUGUAGCAGUGAAAUGCGUAGAUAUGCGGAGGAACACCGAUGGCGAAGGCAAUCCCCUGGACCUGUACUGACGCUCAUGCACGAAAGCGUGGGGAGCAAACAGGAUUAGAUACCCUCGUAGUCCCUGAGCGGGCUGGCAAGGCGCAU
rnacentral:rRNA from 1 species